GCCGGGGGAGGGGGCGGCCCCGCGGCUGCCCCCGGGGGAAGGGGGGAGCCCUCCGCCCCCCCAGCUACGCAGCGAGUAACGAGCGGCGGCAGCCGCUGCCGCCGCGCUCUAAAGGGUUGUGGUUUUCUCUCUCCCUCCCUCCCCCUUUCCUGAGAUAAAAAUCUCAGGACAGCGGAGGCCGUAGCGUUGACGAGGCUAUUAAGAUGGUAUUUAUGGGGUAAUCGCUUAUUUUAACUGCCAGCCGCAUAAAAUUUAUCCUGAGGGGAGAGAAAAGAGAAAAAAAAAGAAAGACUCGUGGAAUUUUAUUAUUAUCAUUUACACUUAAAAAAAAAAAAACUUUAACAAAUGGAAUUGGCGGUGCCUCCUGCCAGCGGUGGGUCAGGAGGGCUGGCGAGGGCGAGCUGGAGGGUGGCUGGUCGUCGGCGUUUCCUGGGGGGAGGCCCCACUGCCAGGGAGGGCUUCCCCCACGAGGCUGGGGAGCAGGGGCCCCCCAAAACCCAAAGGAGGAGACUCUGGUUUGGGGAGCGAUGCAGCAGGUCCACACUUGAGUGCCGCCUGUGAGCAGCUCUGGUCUACAGCUGAGGGCUUGGGCCCAAAACCUAGAGGGAGCAAGCAGAGGUGGGGACACACAGGUGAGCAGGGCUCGAAGGGCAUCCCUCUCCCCAGAAAACACCACCGUGACCAGGCGAUUUGCUCUGUUUCUUUCAGCUGUUUCUCAUCUCCGUGUGCACACUUGCUCCCAGUGCCACCUGAUCUCUCACCCGACCUUCACGUCGCAGGGGAAGCUGAUGAAAAAAAAAUCAGCAUAGCAGCCAACUGUUAUCAGGUUAAAUACGUGAUAAAACUAGACACGAGGACCCUUCCUCCCACAGCCUUCACACGCCGCCAAGGCACAGGGGAACCUGUGACCGUCUGUGACAAGCACUAUGCACAUUUGCAGGCAAUGAAUACCUGUUGUGACAAAAAAUACGAAAUAAAGCGAAUAAAAUUGCACGGGUUGUUAUUUCAACUUGGGAUAAUGACUCCACAAGCAUCUGCAGCCUGACAUAUCGCCUAGAUUAAUGUUGCUUUCAAGAACAUGGCUUGAUUUUUCCUUUAAACAUUUGUCUUCACCAACAAGCCCCUCACCUUAGUGCCGCAUAAUUGACUCUGUCUUGAAGCUACUAGAGCUUGUCACAGCGCUUUAAAUAUUGGGCCAGCCUCAGCUCUCGGGUAGCCAAGGGAAACUCCCGAGAAGCCGGCAGGGUUUCACCUCCUGGUGCCACGGAGGACUCUGGCGAGUGGAAGCCCAUCGCCUGCCAGCGUGCUGAGCGGCUCAGUGCUGCUGCCUCCAGCCCUGCUCAGCUGGGCUACCGGCAGCCUGGCGGUCCAAGCCCAAGCGCUCGCCUGCCCCGGCUGCUGGCGAGGGGAGAAGCGGGGAAGUCUCUUUGCCAUCCACUCCUUCUACGACACGAAACCAGGUAGCUCUUCACUGCCUUCAAAAGCAAUGGUCUGUCUUCCUUUUUAAAUGAAAUAUCUUAAUAAUAUCUGAAUUAAUAAUUUCACUAUAUUUUGUUGUCAAGUUCACUGGCCAAGGAGGCCAAGUGCAAUCAUUGUAUCAGGGAAGCUGUAUAUUCCCUUUCAACCACGCACCAACCUUCCUCCUAAGCAGGAGGAAACCAGAACCAACAAAAACUUAUUAGCUACAAACUAUGUUAUCACUUUCUCAAAAGAUACAGUUUUAAGCAUUAUUUAGAGCACGGAAAGGAAAAAAGAGAGGAAACUGUUUAAAGUCAACCACACAAAGGUAAGAUCUGUUCAGAUAAAUGUAUACGUGACUGCAGAAUACUCUUUGGUCUUCUUUCUAUCAAAUCUAAAAAAUUAUUUUUAAUUGAUUCUUGAAGCACUUUUUGAAGUUCAAUAAAUGCUUCAGAAAUCAGUUGGGAGUCCA
rnacentral:lncRNA from 1 species